GCCCCCAUCCCCAUCUCUGGCUGACGUAUCUUUGGCGUUCUCAGCCAGGGAGGAAGUGAAGUGUCUCAUCCGGCUGUGGCUGUCCUUGCCUUUCCGCUCCUGUCACCCAGACCUGGCACUGGGCUCUCCAGCGACCAUCUGCCUUCAUCUCUGGAGGGAGCACUGCUCCACGGAGCACCAGUACACACCUACAUGCAAACGUGGUGUGAGCCUCAAGGAACAUGGUCGUUAAGGAGAGACAGGAAUAUGCAAGUAAUUUAUUUUUCAUGCAAAACUCUGCUAGGAGCUACCAGACUUUCCAAAAUGUAUUCCAAAGAAAUGCAGAGAUAGAUUCCCAACCGGCAUUAAUCAGUGCUGAUUAAGUCAUGGAGCUACCCAAUUUCUGCCUGCUUCAACGUGACUGGCUAGGGUUAAAAUAGAUGCACAGAACUGGAGGAAAUCUCUGAACAAUAAAGGAAAGCCUCAACCACAAACAGGACAACUACACUACCAGAAGUUCGGGUGCUUUACCCUGUCACUGUAUGGAGUGACUGCCAUGGAAAUGCAGCCCAUCCACAGCAAGUGUAUUGAUGGACCUUCACCCAACAGGGUAAGGAAUGAAGUCACUUAUAAAACAGAG